GACGUAGGGUGCGAGCGUUGUCCGGAUUUAUUGGGCGUAAAGAGCUCGUAGGCGGCUCGUCGCGUCAGCUGUGAAAACCCGCAGCUUAACUGUGGGCUUGCAGCUGAUACGGGCGGGCUAGAGUUCGGUAGGGGAGACUGGAAUUCCUGGUGUAGCGGUGAAAUGCACAGAUAUCAGGAGGAACACCGGUGGCGAAGGCGGGUCUCUGGGCCGAUACUGACGCUGAGGAGCGAAAGCGUGGGGAGCGAACAGG
rnacentral:rRNA from 1 species